rnacentral:rRNA from 1 species
UACGGAGGGGACUAGCGUUGUUCGGAAUUACUGGGCGUAAAGCGCACGUAGGCGGCUUUGUAAGUUAGGGGUGAAAUCCCGGGGCUCAACCUCGGAACUGCCUUUGAUACUGCAAAUCUCGAGUCCGGAAGAGGUGAGUGGAACUGCGAGUGUAGAGGUGAAAUUCGUAGAUAUUCGCAAGAACACCAGUGGCGAAGGCGGCUCACUGGCCCGGUACUGACGCUGAGGUGCGAAAGCGUGGGGAGCAAACAGG